CCCUUAGAUGUUCUGGGCCGCACGCGCGCUACACUGAUGCAUUCAACGAGUCUAAAACCUGCUCUGAUAGGGGUGGGUAAUCUUUUGAAUGUGCAUCGUGAUUGGGAUAGAUGAUUGCAAUUUUUCAUCUUCAACGAGGAAUGCCUAGUAAACGCAAGUCAUCAGCUUGCAUUGAUUACGUCCCUGCCCUUUGUACACACCGCCCGUCGCUCCUACCGAUUGAAUGAUCCGAUGAAUAUCAUGGAUUGAGGAUGCAAGUAGGUUCGCCUAUCUUCAUCUUCGAGAAGUGAAGUAAAUCUUAUCGUUUAGAGGAAGGAGAAGUCGUAACA
rnacentral:rRNA from 1 species